rnacentral:rRNA from 1 species
CCUACGGGGGGCUGCAGUGGGGAAUAUUGGACAAUGGGCGAAAGCCUGAUCCAGCCAUGCCGCGUGUGUGAAGAAGGCCUUCGGGUUGUAAAGCACUUUCAGUGGGGAAGAAAGCCUUGGGGCUAAUACCCUCGAGGAAGGACAUCACCCACAGAAGAAGCACCGGCUAACUCCGUGCCAGCAGCCGCGGUAAUACGGAGGGUGCGAGCGUUAAUCGGAAUUACUGGGCGUAAAGCGCGCGUAGGCGGUCUGAUAAGCCGGUUGUGAAAGCCCCGGGCUCAACCUGGGAACGGCAUCCGGAACUGUCAGGCUAGAGUGCAGGAGAGGAAGGUAGAAUUCCCGGUGUAGCGGUGAAAUGCGUAGAGAUCGGGAGGAAUACCAGUGGCGAAGGCGGCCUACUGGACUGACACUGACGCUGAGGUGCGAAAGCGUGGGUAGCAAACAGGAUUAGAUACCCCUGUAGUC